AAUAGGAGAAUGGCAAAUUAAAUUUUUCCUUUUGAUUUUUAGCUUUUUUUCUCAUGAAAAAAAUUUAAAUUCAACUAAAAAGUUAAAAAUCAGGAGGAAAAAUAUGAUUUGUCAUUCUUCUAUU
rnacentral:pre_miRNA from 1 species